rnacentral:misc_RNA from 1 species
GGUGGUGGUGGUGGUGGUAGUGGAACAUUUGAAGCAGGGACACUUGAACUAUGACCAGACUUCCAAGGGGGUGGAGUGGGUGCAGGACGUAACAUUAUCCCAACAUCCUGCCUAUUAGAUGGAGGGGGAGGAGGAGGGGGAGGGGGUGGAUGGAAUGCAUGGUGUGAAACUAUCCCUAUAUUCUGCCUACUAUAUGACGCGGAAGGUGGAGGUGGAGGUGGAGGUG